rnacentral:rRNA from 1 species
AUACGUAGGGGGCGAGCGUUGUCCGGAAUGAUUGGGCGUAAAGGGCGCGUAGGCGGCCCGGUAAGUCUGGGGUGAAAGUCCUGUUUUUAAGAUGGGAAUUGCUUUGGAUACUGUCGGGCUUGAGUGCAGGAGAGGUAAGUGGAAUUCCCAGUGUAGCGGUGAAAUGCGUAGAGAUUGGGAGGAACACCAGUGGCGAAGGCGACUUACUGGACUGUAACUGACGCUGAGGCGCGAAAGUGUGGGGAGCAAACAGGAUUAGAUACCCUGGUAGUCCACACUGUAAACGAUGAAUGCUAGGUGUAGGGGGUAUCGACCCCUUCUGUGCCGCAGUCAACACAAUAAGCAUUCCGCCCGGGGAGUACGGCCGCAAGGUUGAAACUUAAAGGAAUUGACGGGG